GUUGAACGCUGGCGGCGUGCUUAACACAUGCAAGUCGAACGAUGACGCCCAGCUUGCUGGGUGGAUUUGUGGCGAACGGGUGAGUAACCCGUGAGUAACUUGCCCUUAACUCUGGCCUGAGCCUGGACCUCAGGAGCUAAUCCUGUAUAUAGCUUCUCAUCGCAUGGUGGGGGGUGGGACGUUUUAUUGCUGUUGGAUGGUGUCGCGGCCUAUCAGCAUGUUGGUGAGGUACGGGCGCACGAAGGCGCGGAGGGGUAGCCGUCCUGAGAGGGUGACGGGCCACAGAGGGACUGAGACACGGCCCAGGGGCCAACGGGAGGCAGCAGUGGGGAACAGUGCACAAUGGGCGCAAGGCUGAUGCAGCGACGCCGCGUGGGGGAUGAUGGCCGUCGGGUUGUAAACGUCUUUCAGUAGGGAAGACGCGUGAGUGACGGUACCUGCAGAAGAAGCGCCGGCUAACUACUU
rnacentral:rRNA from 1 species